rnacentral:rRNA from 1 species
UACGGGGGAUGCGAGCGUUAUCCGGAUUUAUUGGGUUUAAAGGGAGCGCAGACGGGUCGUUAAGUCAGCUGUGAAAGUUUGGGGCUCAACCUUAAAAUUGCAGUUGAUACUGGCGUCCUUGAGUGCGGUUGAGGUGUGCGGAAUUCGUGGUGUAGCGGUGAAAUGCUUAGAUAUCACGAAGAACUCCGAUUGCGAAGGCAGCACACUAAGCCGUAACUGACGUUCAUGCUCGAAAGUGUGGGUAUCAAACAGG